rnacentral:rRNA from 1 species
UACGUAUGGUGCAAGCGUUAUCCGGAUUUACUGGGUGUAAAGGGAGCGCAGGCGGCACGGCAAGCCUGAUGUGAAAGCCCGCGGCCCAACCGCGGGACUGCAUUGGGAACUACCGGGCUGGAGUGCCGGAGAGGUAGGCGGAAUUCCUAGUGUAGCGGUGAAAUGCGUAGAUAUUAGGAGGAACACCAGUGGCGAAGGCGGCCUACUGGACGGUGACUGACGCUGAGGCUCGAAAGCGUGGGGAGCAAACAGG